GUGAUUGUAGCUCAAUGGCAGAGCAUUCGGUUGUGGUCCGAAGGACGCCAGUUCGACUCUGGUCAGUCACC
rnacentral:tRNA from 1 species